GUUUUAUUUUAUUCGAUAGUCUUAUUCGACGUUACAUUGGUAUUUUUAUCUAAAUAAAUAAAUUCAAACUUCAGCAUACACAAUGACCUGUACAAAUAUUCUGAUGAGAUAUUUUCGAAUUUUCCUCUUUGCGAUGCUAUUUGAUUUAAUCAUAGCAGUUGUUCGUCCACCGCCACCUGCCUCAAGCUCGUUUCAAGCAGGGAGAGGAGGAUUAAUGUCAGAUGAAAAAUUUAAUGAAGAAUUUAAAGACUUUUGACCUGCUCAGAUGCAAUUGGAAGAAUGUUAUUUACAGCUUUUCUUUUCAAUUUAAUAUUGCAUUUUUGCGGUAAGAAGAUUCAUAUUUAUACUAAAUGCCCUGUGCAUUCAAUCAAAGGAUGUUUUGUUGUUUUAAUAAAUCUGUGUUUAUUGCUCGUGCUUGUUUGGAUAAUAAAUACGAUAUAAUUGUAUAGAUUGCAGUUUCCCAUUCGCCAGAAAUAUUAUCGACUCAAUUAUUCUAGCUUCUACGACUGAAAAUACAAUUUCUUCUCGUCAUGUGUUCAAUAAUCAACGAAUCUAAAUAUAAAUGACCCUUUAAGA